rnacentral:sRNA from 1 species
UUUAUAGAACAACAAUAAAUACUAGUUUUUCACUAUAUAAGGACUUGAUUGGUUCUUGAAAAUUAUAUGUAUUGAUUAUUGGGAGAUUUGCAAAACUAGCCUUUUUUUACUACCCUUUUGCAACAAUACCCUUUCAUGUUGUCCAUUUUUAAAAAUAUCUCUCCCCUUGAACAAAAUGACCAAAUUACCCUCAUCUAAUAAAAACAUGUAAUUGGAAACUGAAAUUUUCCCGCCAAUUUUUUGGCGCCAAAAUAUUUUUUUUCCCGCCAAAAAAAAGUUUCCGCCAAACUUUUUUCCAACCAAAAAAAAAAAUUCCCGCCAACAAAAAAAUUUCCCGCCAAAUUUUUUUUUCGUAAAAAAUUUUUCCUCAGCCAAAAAAAAUAUUUUAAAAAUCCUUGUAAAUAUUUUUUAGCGCCAAAUAGAUUUACAAGGGAUUUUAAAAGGAUUUUAAAAGAUUUACAAGAGAUUUUUAAAAAGUUUUAAAAAAUUUACAAGAGAUUUUAAAAGAGUUUUAAAAGAUUUACAAGAGAUUUUAAAAGAGUUUUAAAAGAUUUACAAGUAAUUUUAAAAGGUUUUAAAAUCCCUUGUAAAUCUUUCAAAACACUUUUAAACCCUUUAAAAAUCUUUACAAAUCCUAUGUAAAUAUUUUAAAACCCUUUAAAAUCCCUUGUAAAUAUUGUAAAACCCUUUUAAAAUCCCUUGUAAAUAUUUUAAAAUCCUUUUAAAACAAUUUUAAACCCUUUAAAAAUCUUUAAAAGACCUUUGUAAAUCUUUUAAAUCCCUUUAAAAUCUCUUGUAAAUCUUUUAAAACCCUUUUAAAAAUCCCUUGUAAAUCUUUUAAAAACCUUUUAAAAUCCCUUGUAAAUUACCCUUUUAAAAUCCCUUGUAAAUCUUAUAAAACCCCUUUAAAUUGCCUUGUAAAUCUUUUAAAACUCUUUUAAAAUUCCUUGUAAAUCUAUUUCCCGCCAAAAAAAAAAAUUGACGGGAAAAAUAUUUUUGAAAACAAAAUUUGGCGGGAAAUGUUUUUCAAAAAUUUUUGGUGGGAAUUUUUUUCGAAAAGGUUUGGCGGGAAAAUUUUGGCGGGAAAUUUAUUUUAGAAUAUUUUAGGCGAAAAAAUAUUAAUAUUUCAUUUUGUUAACCUAAAACAAUUUCCAAAUAAGGGUAAAAUGGUAAUUAAAAAUUUAAAGAGAAUAUAAAUAAAAAUGGAUAAAACAAAAGGGUAGAGUUGAAAAGGGGCAUCAUGAAAAGGGCAUUUGAAAGAAUUUUUCUUGAUUAUUUGAUAUCCAAAAUUUUAUAAUAUAUUUUUAGAAAACGAGUUAACCAUUGUGGGAGGAAAUAACUGACCUUGUCUUAUAUACAAUAAAUUGUUGCAAGUGUU